rnacentral:rRNA from 1 species
GACGUAGGGCGCGAGCGUUGUCCGGAUUUAUUGGGCGUAAAGAGCUCGUAGGCGGCUUGUCGCGUCGACUGUGAAAACCCGCGGCUUAACUGCGGGACUGCAGUCGAUACGGGCAGGCUAGAGUUCGGUAGGGGAGACUGGAACUGACGGUGGAGCGGUGAAAUGCGUAGAUAUCGUCAGGAACGCCAAUGGUGAAGACAGGUGACUGGGCUAGUUCUGACACUGAGGCACGAAAGCGUGGGGAGCGAACGGG